rnacentral:tRNA from 1 species
GCAAGUGUAGUAUAAUGGUCAUUAUCUCCGCCUUCCAAGCGGAUCAUGCGAGUUCGAUUCUCGCCACUUGUA